AGAGUUUGAUCAUGGCUCAGGAUGGACGCUAGCUACAGGCUUAACACAUGCAAGUCGAGGGGAAACGACAUCGAAAGCUUGCUUUUGAUGGGCGUCGACCGGCGCACGGGUGAGUAACGCGUAUCCAACCUGCCCACCACUUGGGGAUAACCUUGCGAAAGUAAGACUAAUACCCAAUGAUAUCUCUAGAAGACAUCUGAAAGAGAUUAAAGAUUUAUCGGUGAUGGAUGGGGAUGCGUCUGAUUAGCUUGUUGGCGGGGUAACGGCCACCAAGGCUACGAUCAGGUAGGGUUCUGAGAGGAAGGUCCCCCACAUUGGAACUGAGACACGGUCCAAACUCCGUACGGGAGGCA
rnacentral:rRNA from 1 species